UACGUAGGGGGCAAGCGUUGUCCGGAAUCAUUGGGCGUAAAGCGCGUGUAGGCGGCUGACUAAGUCCGCUCUGAAAGCCCGGGGCUCAACCCCGGGAGGCGGGUGGAUACUGGUCAGCGUCGAGUCCGGAAGAGGAGUUGUGGGAAUUCCGAGUGUAGAGGUGAAAUUCGUAGAUAUUCGGAGGAACACCAGUGGCGAAGGGCGGCUCACUGGUCCGGUACUG
rnacentral:rRNA from 1 species